rnacentral:rRNA from 1 species
UACGGAGGGUGCAAGCGUUAUCCGGAUCCACUGGGUUUAAAGGGUGUGUAGGCGGGUAUUUAAGUCAGUGGUGAAAUCUCCAGGCUCAACCUGGAAACUGCCAUUGAUACUAUUUAUCUUGAAUAUCGUUGAGGUUGGCGGAAUAUAUCAUGUAGCGGUGAAAUGCAUAGAUAUGAUAUAGAACACCGAUUGCGAGGGCAGCUAACUAAGCGAUUAUUGACGCUGAGGCACGAAAGCGUGGGGAU